rnacentral:rRNA from 1 species
UACGUAGGUGGCGAGCGUUGUCCGGAAUUACUGGGUGUAAAGCGCGUGUAGGCGGGUGGCCAAGUCUGUGGUGAAAUCGCCUGGCUUAACUGGGCGGGGUCCAUGGAAACUGGUCACCUGGAGGUCGGUAGAGGCAAGUGGAAUUCCCGGUGUAGUGGUGAAAUGCGUAGAGAUCGGGAGGAACACCAGUGGCGAAGGCGGCUUGCUGGGCCGGACCUGACGCUGAGACGCGAAGGCGUGGGGAGCGAACGGG